AACGAACGCUGGCGGCAGGCUUAACACAUGCAAGUCGAACGCCCCGCAAGGGGAGUGGCGCCCGGGUGAGUAACGCGUGGAUAGCUGCCUUUUGGUUCGGAAUAACCCCGGGAAACUGGGGCUAAUACCGGAUGGUUCCUACGGGAUAAAGAUUGAUCGCCAAAAGAUGAGUUCGCGUACGAUUAGCUAGUUGGUGAGGUAAUGGCUCACCAAGGCGACGAUCGUUAGCUGGUCUGAGAGGACGAUCAGCCACACUGGGACUGAGACACGGCCCAGACUCCUACGGGAGGCAGCAGUGGGGAAUAUUGGACAAUGGGGGCAAUCCUGAUCCAGCCAUGACGCGUGAGUGAUGAAGGCCUUCGGGUUGUAAAGCUCUUUUGGCGGGGACGAUGAUGACGGUACCAGCAGAAUAAGCCCCGGCUAACUUCGUG
rnacentral:rRNA from 1 species